AUGGGUGGCGACCGAGACAGGAAUCCUAAUGUCACAUCAAAAGUGACUCGGGAUGUUUCCCUGAUGGCCCGUUGGAUGGCAAUUGACCUGUACAUCCGACAACUAGACAGUCUCAGCUUUGAGUUAUCCAUCAGGAAAUGUAGCGAUAAGCUUGUAACCUUAGCCAAUGAAAUCUUGCUCGAAGACUCAGAGUCGACAUCGGAAGAGAAGAAGGCCAGUCCUUGGACCAAAACAGGACCAGAAAACAACUUAAAACUGCCGCCUAGGUUGGGGAUGCCUGCUCAGCUUCCUUCUGGUGCUGAUCUUCCAUCAUUGACAGAAUGCAAUGAUAGCGAAUCUCAAUUCAGAAUGGUAAAACUUCCAUGCAACCCGAAACAUCAG
rnacentral:rRNA from 1 species